rnacentral:rRNA from 1 species
CCGUUUUUGUUGAGUAGCGAACGGGUGAGUACGCGUGGGUAACCUGCCUUAUAGCGGGGGGAUAACUAUUGGAAACGAUAGCUAAUACCGCAUAACAAUAGAGAUUGCAUAAUCUUUAUUUGAAAGUGCCAACUGGUACACUAUGAGAUGGACCCGCGUUGUAUUAGCUAGUUGGUAGUGUAAUGGACUACCAAGGCGAUGAUACAUAGCCGACCUGAGAGGGUGAUCGGCCACAUUGGGACUGAGACACGGCCCAAACUCCUACGGGAGGCAGCAGUAGGGAAUCUUCGGCAAUGGACGAAAGUCUGACCGAGCAACGCCGCGUGAGUGAAGAAGGUUUUCGGAUCGUAAAACUCUGUUGUUAGAGAAGAAUGUUGAUUAGAGUGGAAAAUUAAUCAAGUGACGGUAUCUAACCAGAAAGGGACGGCUAACUACGUG